rnacentral:rRNA from 1 species
UACGUAGGGGGCGAGCGUUGUCCGGAUUUAUUGGGCGUAAAGGGCGUGUAGGCGGCUGGUCAAGUCGCGUGUGAAAUCUCCCGGCUUAACUGGGAGGGGCCAUGCGAUACUGUCCGGCUUGAGGCUGGAAGGGGGAAGUGGAAUUCCCGGUGUAGUGGUGGAAUGCGUAGAUAUCGGGAGGAACACCAGUGGCGAAGGCGACUUCCUGGUCCAGUUCUGACGCUGAGGCGCGAAAGCGUGGGGAGCGAUCCGG